UACCCGCAGCACAAGUGGUGGUCAUUAUUAUUGGGCCUAAAGCGUCCGUAGCUGGCCUGUUAGAUGCCUGGGUAAAUCGAUGCGCUCAACGUAUCGAACUCCGGGUAGACCGGCAGGCUUGGGACCGGGAGAGAUGUGAGCUACUCGAGGGGUAGGGGUAAAAUCCUGUAAUCCUUCGGGGAGGACCAGUGGCGAAGGCGUCACAUUAGAAUGGCUCCGACAGUGAGGGACGAAGCCCUGGGGCGCAAACCGG
rnacentral:rRNA from 1 species